UAGCUCAGCUGGAUAGAGCAACGGCCUUCUAAGCCGUGGGUCGGGGGUUCGAAUCCCUUUGG
rnacentral:tRNA from 1 species